UACGGGGGGGGGCAAGCGUUGUCCGGAUUUACUGGGCGUAAAGAGCGCGCAGGCGGUCGUUCAAGUCGCGUGUGAAAGCCCCCGGCUCAACUGGGGAGGGUCACGCGAUACUGAUCGACUCGAAGGCAGGAGAGGGAAGUGGAAUUCCCGGUGUAGUGGUGAAAUGCGUAGAUAUCGGGAGGAACACCAGUGGCGAAGGCGACUUCCUGGCCUGUUCUUGACGCUGAGGCGCGAAAGCUAGGGGAGCAAACGGG
rnacentral:rRNA from 1 species